GAGGCAAUCAAUGCCCGUGUCAAACCCGAGACGGCAAGAGAGAUUGAUAGAGAUUUCAGGGUGUGAAUAGACUUAAGCGAGAACAGAUGCGUGAAGGAUUGAGAUCCACUAGGAGUGUGGUGUGAGGAGAUCUAGCUAGGGUUGCUUGGCAGGAGGUGGCAGCGGCAGCGGCGGUGAUGAAGGUGCUGGUGGGAAGCCCUGGAACAUGGAAUGGACUGCUACUGUGCGUCUUUGCAGGGACCUCCAUUGAGGUUAUGGAAUUUGCAUUGGAGUUCUCCAACUACACUGCCUUAUAGUUUGAAAUUUGACUGCUAUACAUUUGGUAUCACAGUUGAUAGAUUUGCCCAUUCUACAUUUUUUAGAUUUAAAAAACGUGUUAUAUAUUUUAAGAAAGCUGGAUAAAUGUGACGCCAUUAGGAGGAAGGAUGUGAGUAUUCGUCUCCGUCCUAGGAGUUUUGAAUGCUUUAACCACUGAUGCACUCAAAGAACCCAUGUUUCUUUCCUCUUUGUCUUAACAUCCUGAAGAAAAUCUGAGAGAAGAUCAAGUCUUUUUUAUGAUCAUUAAGCAAUCAGCCUUUAAUGAGCUCCGUGGCCUCUGUUAAUUUCCAUGUUAAUUGCUAAGGCGCAUGCUCUCCUUCCUGAAAAAUCUACACUGAAGUAUUUGGCUUUCCCUUAAUGAUAUCAACGCCAAUUUUGUUUCUCUCUUUUUUGUAUUAACACAAUCGUUCUGUAAUAUAUUAUUUAUGACGUGCAAGAGUUUGAGAUCUUAAUCAAGCACUAUUAUUUUUUUUAAUAAAAUUUGUUGGGAUAUAAUUGCUUCCUAGAUCAUAAUUCGAAGUGCUCUAUUGCAAUUCCUCUUCGACGCGGCAUGUGUACAUCUUGGUUGCUAUGUUUUAAAGAGAAUCUAGAUAAGAUUAAAGAUCUCAUUUCUCACAUUAUAUUGUCUUUGCUAUUCUUGACACCCUGUUUUUUCAGAUCAAACUGUGAGGAUAUACUGAUGUAGAUGUGGCUUAACUUCCCUAAUUGAGCAGGAGUUGGUGAAUGAACCAUUUUAUAUUUGGAAAUGAAUUCAAAAUACUUCCUGGACUUUAAUCAAUGUUAAGGUAACUCCAACAACAAUAAUAACCUAAUAAAACUAAGCUCCACUCUACAGUUGAAUUUAAUCUGAUCUACAUUAUGAUGUUUGUUUUUUCACUCUGAUUCCGCAUUGCUCAUUUGGAUGUUUUUUUUUUUAAAACAAAAAAAUUCAGCUAUUUAA